rnacentral:rRNA from 1 species
UACGGAGGGGGCUAGCGUUGUUCGGAAUUACUGGGCGUAAAGCGCACGUAGGCGGCUUUGUAAGUUAGAGGUGAAAGCCCGGGGCUCAACUCCGGAAUUGCCUUUAAGACUGCAUCGCUCGAAUUGUGGAGAGGUAAGUGGAAUUCCGAGUGUAGAGGUAAAAUUCGUAGAUAUUCGGAAGAACACCAGUGGCGAAGGCGACUUACUGGACACAUAUUGACGCUGAGGUGCGAAAGCGUGGGGAGCAAACAGG